GGGGCUGGAGGGUGGGGGGGACGCCGGCGCGCCCCGGCUGUGGCAGCCCCGUCUCCGUUCCCCGGAGCCCUCCCCGAUGGGGGCGACCUCAGCGGCCUCGCUGCUCCUCCUCCUCCCUCCUGGCGGUCUGAGGCAGAGACUGAACACAAGCUAGAUGCAAUUAAAGCAGUGUGUGAUUCUGGCCUACAGCCCGCGCAAGUUUGGAUACAGCUCAGUGUCCUUCUUGAAGUGACAAAAAGCUACGGUUUGCCCUUAGGCUAAAGGAAUUAUUUUUCUCCAGAGAAAAAAAUAAAAUGCUGCUGAUAUUGAAUACCUGAUAUUAUUUAUGUGAAUCUGUCAACUAAUCAUUUGGCUCUCUGAGGUGGAGGCAUCCCUGUAGGAGUUAUAAACAAAGGAAAGUCUUAGAGUCUCUUUCUGUUCACAUUCCCUAAUGUGCAUAAAAAGGGACAUCCUUCAUUAGCUUGUUGCGAUCAAAAGUGAAUUCAGUGCUCCGAAGGUCAAGAGAUGAAGAUGGCUGUUCUGCACAGGUACAUGAACUGUUCUAACAAACACCAUGGUGUAGUGUACCCAAAGACACUUGCUGUCCUGCCAGUGGAAAAAGAAAGGCAUCCCUCUUAGGUAUUCUUUAUUUCCUCUGUGAGGCAUUUAACCCACUGACUGUGUGACGGCUGGGAUUUCUAAAGGAAGAAGUCUGAAUCAUCCUGUCAGGUAGAUGCUUCACCACUGGCAGCUACAAAAGUCUGAAUAUAACUGAAUAAUAUCAAUAGGUUGAUCUGUAGAAACACUGAGCAUCAGUAAAUGUACUCUGAUGGGAUAACACGCUUUUCUGAAGGUAAUGUGAAAAAUCAGAACCUAUUGAUUGUGCAAUUAAUUUUCCAUACUUCCCUUUGUUGUUCUGAAAGCACUGGACUAUAUGUUCAAAAACAUGUAUGAAGAGCUUUUAAUUAUUGUCUUUACGUCUUGGUAAACUUAACCUUUAUUUUGCAGCUCUCCUCUGGGAUAGUAACAUUUUACCAAAGUGGGUAAAACCUAACAAUAAAUAUUGUGUUAUGAUGAGUGUUUUUGCUUGGUUCAGAAAUAAAACUCCUCAACAUAUCUUGUAUUUUAUUCUUUACCGAUUAGGUCAAAAAUAUAGUUGUGCAAUUUACUGUCUCCAGGUACUUCCUGUCAUUCCUCUAUAGAGCUACAGUAGACAAUCCUAUAUAGGAAUCAGAAAUUUAUUUUUCCUAUGGGUCAUGAGACUGAGAUAUUUUCUAUUAUCUUGGGGAUUGUAGUGCUAUGUCACAAAAUCAGUAAUAAAUUAUUUUUCUAUAUUUCCAUUUUAUUGUCAGUCGUGUUCUCAUAGCCAGUAAUACACGGCUUGGACUACAAAUUUAUGAUAUCUUGCAAUAGCCACUUCCCAUCAAACAACAUGAACCCUUCAGUAGUUUUUAAUGGUGUAGGGAGAGACUCCAGUGGAUAUUAAGACAUCUCUAGGCAUCUGUACGGAAGUGCUCUAGUGUAAGCUGUGUGUGUAAACUUCUAUUGUAGACAAUAGAGUUAAAAUAAUCCAUGAAGCCUAGUCAGGACCUCGUCAGCUAAUGAACUGCCUUGCAUGUAUUUCAGAGUCACCUGGGCUUUGUGCUAAGUUCCAUUUGAACACACAGAAAAAAAUAUGACAUUUUAUAAAAUAGGCUGCUAAUUUUGUACGUCACAUAUUAAGAAUUUUACAUAUUUCGCUUCUUGAUGUUUCCAGAAAUUGGAAAAGAUAUUCCACUGUAAUUAUUAAAUUUCUGAGAAAAGCAAUAGGAAUAUCUCAGUUAUUUUUUUUUUUCUCUGAGUUAAGUUGGGAUAAUGAAAUUAAGAUAAUGAAAUUAUCGUUAUUUAUUUAUUUAUUUUGUCAUUUGCUGUAGUUUCUGUAAAUCACAUGACAGAAUACUGUAAACUGAGUACCGCACAUAAAGGCAGUCUUUGGUAAAUGUCAGUAUGCUUGCCUCAUUGUUUAUCAAUGUAAUGUUGUCAGCUCUUCAUUUUUGGGGCUGCUUACAUUAAGUAACAUUAAGAUAUUAACAGGAUUAUUUGAGUUGUUAGUCUGUGAUAAUGAAAUACUGCAUUUGUUGAUGCAGAAAUUGUUCUGAGUUUUGUGUCUGAGUGCCUCUCUUACCUGUUCCAUGUGAAUAAAAUGCUUUCUU
rnacentral:lncRNA from 7 species